rnacentral:tRNA from 1 species
CGGGCUGUGGCGCAGUUUGGUAGCGCACCUGCUUUGGGAGCAGGGGGCCGCGGGUUCAAAUCCCGCCAGCCCGACCC